GGGCGAACAGCCGAAACUGCUUCGGGAUGCAGUAUUGCUCCCUGAGCCGAUCGACGUUCGGCCCUGAAAGUGAAGAAACUUCCACCUCUGGGGUCGACCGAGAAUCGUCGGUCGGAUUCCCCGACCAACUUCCUCGUGGGGAGGUUCUGGCCAUGACGCUAGAACCGAGGUCGAAGGAUGAAGAAGAAGAAGGAAGAAAAUUCUAAGGAAGCAAAGAGAAAACG
rnacentral:lncRNA from 1 species